rnacentral:rRNA from 1 species
CGAACGAAGCGCUUAAAUGGAUUUCUUCGGAUUGAAGUUUUUGUGACUGAGUGGCGGACGGGUGAGUAACGCAUGGGUAACCUGCCUCAUACAGGGGGAUAACAGUUAGAAAUGACUGCUAAUACCGCAUAAGCGCACGGUGCUGCAUGGCACAGUGUGAAAAACUCCGGUGGUAUGAGAUGGACCCGCGUCUGAUUAGCUAGUUGGUGGGGUAACGGCCUACCAAGGCGACGAUCAGUAGCCGGCCUGAGAGGGUGAACGGCCACAUUGGGACUGAGACACGGCCCAAACUCCUACGGGAGGCAGCAGUGGGGAAUAUUGCACAAUGGGGGAAACCCUGAUGCAGCGACGCCGCGUGAGCGAAGAAGUAUUUCGGUAUGUAAAGCUCUAUCAGCAGGGAAGAAAAUGACGGUACCUGACUAAGAAGCACCGGCUAAAUACGUGCCAGCAGCCGCGGUAAUACGUAUGGUGCAAGCGUUAUCCGGAUUUACUGGGUGUAAAGGGAGCGUAGACGGUUGUGUAAGUCUGAUGUGAAAGCCCGGGGCUCAACCCCGGGACUGCAUUGGAAACUAUGUAACUAGAGUGUCGGAGAGGUAAGCGGAAUUCCUAGUGUAGCGGUGAAAUGCGUAGAUAUUAGGAGGAACACCAGUGGCGAAGGCGGCUUACUGGACGAUCACUGAC